rnacentral:lncRNA from 1 species
CAAUACUUUACAGCAUCAGAAUGCAAAGAAAUUAUUUUCUUAGACGAAUCCUCAUGUGGACUGCUGAGCACUUAACCAGAAAACAGCAAGAGAGAACUGUAGGUUGUUCAAGUGUCUGCACAUCUGAUUGAUCCAGAUUGAAUGUACAAUAUACUGGAACACAUAUGAGAGCCUACUGGUGACAUAUGUUCAUUCAUUCAUCCAUGUGGAGUUGACAUCGCUUUGCCAUAGACAAUGAAUUUGAAGAGACACCUGUGUACAUGUGCACCAGCUGCCCAGGUUGAGGACUGCUCCUGCCUGCUCUGGACCUGCUCCUCCCUUUGGCUGGCUUUCCAAUUAGUGUAGACAUGUUCUCCCAUAUCCUAGCCUCUCUUUGGGCCACAUUUGAGGAUACCACCAACCAACCCUUGGAUCAAAUGCUUGGCUCUUGGGCUCAGACCCUGUAGGGAUAUAGCUUUAUUUGCAAAGUAGGCUGAAAGACUCCCUCUCUUGACAAGGAAAGCUGAUUGGCAGUAUGAAGAGUACACUGCAGAAGUUUUGAGGAGGACAAGCACUUACGAUGGCUUUACAGGGAUGGCUGCCCAAGUGAGAUAGAAUUUAACGAAGGGAAGUAUCACCGGCCUGAACUACUACUCCCCAUCCCCUGCAACUGCCAUUCUUUCUGACUUGUCUCUAGAAAAGGCCAUGUGACCUCUCCCUCAGGCUGACGCAUUGUCCCAGCCAGAAUGUCCAGCCAAAGCAGAAUAAAGCAUCUACUGGACCUAAAAG